GGACAAUUACUCUUUGACAUUCUGACCUCAAAUCAGGCGGGACUACCCCGCCUGAAUUUAA
rnacentral:rRNA from 1 species